rnacentral:rRNA from 1 species
GUAACACGUGAGAAAUCUGCCCUUGACUCUGGGAUAACUGCGGGAAACUGUAGCUAAUACCGGAUACUUUCCUUGGUGGGCAUCCACUGGGGAAGAAAGAAUUUCGGUCAAGGAUGAUCUCGCGGCCUAUCAGCUUGUUGGUGAGGUAAUGGCUCACCAAGGCGACGACGGGUAGCCGGCCUGAGAGGGUGACCGGCCACACUGGGACUGAGACACGGCCCAGACUCCUACGGGAGGCAGCAGUGGGGAAUAUUGCACAAUGGGCGCAAGCCUGAUGCAGCAACGCCGCGUGAGGGACGAAGGCCUUCGGGUUGUAAACCUCUUUUAGCAGGGAAGAAGCGAAAGUGACGGUACCUGCAGAAAAAGCACCGGCUAACUACGUGCCAGCAGCCGCGGUAAUACGUAGGGUGCAAGCGUUGUCCGGAAUUAUUGGGCGUAAAGAGCUCGUAGGCGGUUUGUCACGUCUGCUGUGAAAUUUCGAGGCUCAACCUCGAACUUGCAGUGGGUACGGGCAGGCUAGAGUGCGGUAGGGGAGAUGGGAAUUCCUGGUGUAGCGGUGGAAUGCGCAGAUAUCAGGAGGAACACCAAUGGCGAAGGCACAUCUCUGGGCCGUAACUGACGCUGAGGAG